rnacentral:misc_RNA from 1 species
AAGGAUCAUUAACGAGUUAGGGUUCUCUUUUCGAGGCCCGACCUCCCAACCCUGUGUCUAUGUUACCAAUCGUUGCUUCGGUGGGCCGGUCCUCGACCGCCGGGUGGUUCUGCCGCCUGGACAGCGCCCGCCGAUGGCCUCAAACAAAACUCUUGUAUCAAAACCUGUCGCCUGAAUUAUUCUUGAUUUAAUCAAAAACAAAACUUUCAACAACGGAUCUCUUGGUUCUG